AGACCCGAAACCCGGUGAUCUAGCCAUGGGCAGGUUGAAGGUUGGGUAACACUAACUGGAGGACCGAACCGACUAAUGUUGAAAAAUUAGCGGAUGACCUGUGGCUGGGGGUGAAAGGCCAAUCAAACCGGGAGAUAGCUGGUUCUCCCCGAAAGCUAUUUAGGUAGCGCCUCGUGAAUUCAUCUCCGGGGGUAGAGCACUGUUUCGGCUAGGGGGCCAUCCCGGCUUACCAACCCGAUGCAAACUGCGAAUACCGGAGAAUGUUAUCACGGGAGACACACGGCGGGUGCUAACGUCCGUCGUGAAGAGGGAAACAACCCAGACCGCCAGCUAAGGUCCCAAAGUCAUGGUUAAGUGGGAAACGAUGUGGGAAGGCCCAGACAGCCAGGAUGUUGGCUUAGAAGCAGCCAUCAUUUAAAGAAAGCGUAAUAGCUCACUGGUCGAGUCGGCCUGCGCGGAAGAUGUAACGGGGCUAAACCAUGCACCGAAGCUGCGGCAGCGACGCUGAUGCGUUGUUGGGUAGGGGAGCGUUCUGUAAGCCUGCGAAGGUGGCCUGUGAGGGUUGCUGGAGGUAUCAGAAGUGCGAAUGCUGACAUAAGUAACGAUAAAGCGGGUGAAAAGCCCGCUCGCCGGAAGACCAAGGGUUCCUGUCCAACGUUAAUCGGGGCAGGGUGAGUCGACCCCUAAGGCGAGGCCGAAAGGCGUAGUCGAUGGGAAACGGGUUAAUAUUCCCGUACUUGGUGUUACUGCGAAGGGGGGACGGAGAAGGCUAUGUUGGCCGGGCGACGGUUGUCCCGGUUUAAGCGUGUAGGUGUGUGUUCCAGGUAAAUCCGGUUCACUUUAACACUGAGGCGUGAUGACGAGGCACUACGGUGCUGAAGCAACAAAUGCCCUGCUUCCAGGAAAAGCCUCUAAGCAUCAGGUAACAUCAAAUCGUACCCCAAACCGACACAGGUGGUCAGGUAGAGAAUACCAAGGCGCUUGAGAGAACUCGGGUGAAGGAACUAGGCAAAAUGGUGCCGUAACUUCGGGAGAAGGCACGCUGACACGUAGGUGAAGUGAUUUACUCAUGGAGCUGAAGUCAGUCGAAGAUACCAGCUGGCUGCAACUGUUUAUUAAAAACACAGCACUGUGCAAACACGAAAGUGGACGUAUACGGUGUGACGCCUGCCCGGUGCCGGAAGGUUAAUUGAUGGGGUCAGCGCAAGCGAAGCUCCUGAUCGAAGCCCCGGUAAACGGCGGCCGUAACUAUAACGGUCCUAAGGUAGCGAAAUUCCUUGUCGGGUAAGUUCCGACCUGCACGAAUGGCGUAAUGAUGGCCAGGCUGUCUCCACCCGAGACUCAGUGAAAUUGAACUCGCUGUGAAGAUGCAGUGUACCCGCGGCAAGACGGAAAGACCCCGUGAACCUUUACUAUAGCUUGACACUGAACAUUGAGCCUUGAUGUGUAGGAUAGGUGGGAGGCUUUGAAGUGUGGACGCCAGUCUGCAUGGAGCCGGCCUUGAAAUACCACCCUUUAAUGUUUGAUGUUCUAACGUGGACCCGUUACCCGGGUUGCGGACAGUGUCUGGUGGGUAGUUUGACUGGGGCGGUCUCCUCCUAAAGAGUAACGGAGGAGCACGAAGGUUGGCUAAUCCUGGUCGGACAUCAGGAGGUUAGUGCAAUGGCAUAAGCCAGCUUGACUGCGAGCGUGACGGCGCGAGCAGGUGCGAAAGCAGGUCAUAGUGAUCCGGUGGUUCUGAAUGGAAGGGCCAUCGCUCAACGGAUAAAAGGUACUCCGGGGAUAACAGGCUGAUACCGCCCAAGAGUUCAUAUCGACGGCGGUGUUUGGCACCUCGAUGUCGGCUCAUCACAUCCUGGGGCUGAAGUAGGUCCCAAGGGUAUGGCUGUUCGCCAUUUAAAGUGGUACGCGAGCUGGGUUUAGAACGUCGUGAGACAGUUCGGUCCCUAUCUGCCGUGGGCGCUGGAGAACUGAGGGGGGCUGCUCCUAGUACGAGAGGACCGGAGUGGACGCAUCACUGGUGUUCGGGUUGUCAUGCCAAUGGCACUGCCCGGUAGCUAAAUGCGGAAGAGAUAAGUGCUGAAAGCAUCUAAGCACGAAACUUGCCCCGA
rnacentral:rRNA from 1 species